CUUCAGGGAGAACUCCAAUGGCGUCUGUGUCAGCACGCCCAAACCACGCCACAACAAUGGCUGCUGCCAAUGUCCCAGUCCCCGGAGAGGUCUCACCUCUCACCGAGAUGCACACAGGGCCUAUUCGGGUAGUAAUCUCACCUAACCAUGUGCGGGCUGAAUUCAUGGAAUGUGUUUCCCCCACUGUGGUUGGAAAUCCCAUUUGGAAGCUCUGAAGAGCCCUCUUCUUGCAGGAAUCACAAAGAGAAUACUUUGAGAUGGGAAAAAAAAUCUCAGAAAAUUUGUCAGUUUUGUAAGAUGCUGAUCUCCUGAAUAUUUCUCC